rnacentral:rRNA from 1 species
GCACUAGGGGGAUACCUAGGUAAUUAAGUAAAUGGACGUAAUAGAUGCGAUAAGCUACGAUUAACAUUUCGUAGAUUUCCAAAAGGGAAACCUUCUCUUUAUGAGACUUAUUAAAACUUGGUGAAGUGAAACAUCUCAGUAACCAGGAUAAUAAAAAUCAACCGAGAUUCCGGGAAUAGUGGCGAGCGAAACCGGAUUUAAGGCCAUAUAAAUUCAAAAAUAGUAAUAUUGAGUAAACUGUAAAAUAGCCAGAGAAAUGCUAUGCCAAAGAGGGUGUCAGCCCCGUUGCAGACCAUGUUAUUAUAUCAUUUAUAAUUCGAGUAAAGCGAGACAUGUGAAAUCUUGCUUGAAUAUAGGAGAACCAUCUUCUAAGCCUAAAUAUACUUAAUUAACCGAUAGUGUACAAGUACCGUGAGGGAAAGGUGAAAAAGUUUAGUUAAUAGCUCUUGAAACCUAGUGCCAAUAAGCUGUUGGAGCUUUGAAACAAAGUGACAACGUACCUUUUGUAUAAUGGGUCAGCAACUUUAUUUAUAUAGCAAGCUUAAACUGUUAAGUGAAGGCGUAGCGAAAGCAAGUUUGAAUAAAGCGAACAGUUAUAUGAAUAAUACCCGAAACCGAGUGAUCUAGUUAUGAGCAGGCUGAAAUUAAUCUAAAAGUUAAUGGAGGGCCGAACCCGUGUAUGUUGCAAAAUACUGGGAUGACUUGUGACUAGGAGUGAAAGGCUAAUCAAACUCGGUAAUAGCUGGUUUUCUGCGAAAUCUAUUUAAGUAAAGCAUCAAGUAAUUGGUAGUUUGGGGUAGAGCACUCAUUGAACUAGGGGGAUGAAAAUCUUACCAAACUCAAGGAAACUCCGAAUACAGACUAUUAUUAUCUUGGUAGACGGACAUUGGGCGCUAAGGUUCAAUGUCAAGAGGGAAACAGCCCAGAUUAUUUACUAAGGUCCUUAAAUAAUGUCUAAGUGGAAAAGGAAGUCAGAAUAUUAAGACAACCAGUAGGUAGGCUUGGAAGCAGCCAUCCUUUAAAGAAAGCGUAACAGCUCACUGGUCUAGUAAUUUGGCGCCGAAAAUGUAAAGGGACUAAAGACAUUUACCGAAGUAGUAACUAUAUGUUUCAUAACUAAACGUAUAUGAAACAUGUGGGGUAGCAGAACGUUCUGUAGAUCGAAGAAGUUAUCUUGGAAAAGAUAAUGGAGGUAUCAGAAGUGAGAAUGCUGACAUAAGUAACGAUAAACCAGAGCCUAGCUUUAAAAGGCCGGGCAGAAUUCUGGUCGCCGUAAGCCCAAGGGUUUCUAUAGUAAAGUUCGACUUCAUAGAUUAAAUCGGUCCCUAAGAACAAAGCGAAAGCUGUAAUCGAUGGGAAAUAUUUAUAAAUAUCUUUUGAUGAUGACGAAAAUUAGAAGUUAACUAGUUCAAGAACCUGUUAUUAUAAUUUUCCAGGAAAAAGUCACAAAGUUUUAUAUAAAAGACCGUACCCGAAACCGACACAGGUGGGCGAGUCGAGUAGACUCAGGCGCGUGAGAGAAUCAAGUUUAAGGAACUCGGCAAAAUGACCUUGUAACUUCGGAAUAAAAGGUACUCAUACGAGUGACACAAAAUUGGGGGUAACGACUGUUUAAUAAAAACACAGGGCUCUGCUAAGUCGUAAGACGAUGUAUAGGGUCUGACACCUGCCCGGUGCCAGAAGGUUAAGAGGAGAGGUAUAUGCUUCAAAUUGAAUCCCUGGUAAACGGCGGCCGUAACUCUGACGGUCCUAAGGUAGCGAAAUUCCUUGUUAAUUAAUUGUUGACCUGCAUGAAUGGUGUAACGAUUUCCCCACUGUCUCAAACUUGAUCUCAGUGAAAUUGAAUUGUCCGUGAAGAUGCGGACUAUCUACGGCUAGACGGAAAGACCCCGUGCAC